UUCGGGAACCCGGUGACAGGUGCUGCAUGGCUGUCGUCAGCUCGUGUCGUGAGAUGUUGGGUUAAGUCCCGCAACGAGCGCAACCCUUGUCUUAAUUGCCAUCAUUUAGUUGGGCACUUUAAAGAGACUGCGGUGUUAGCCGGAGGAAGGUGGGGGAUGACGUCAAGUCCUCAUGGCCUUUAUGCCCAGGGCUACACACGUGCUACAAUGGGCGGUACAAAGAGAAGCAACCUCGCGAGGGUGAGCAAAUCUACAAAAAGCCGUUCUCAGUUCGGAUUGAAGUCUGCAACUCGACUUCAUGAAGUCGGAAUCGCUAGUAAUCGCGGAUCAACAUGCCGCGGUGAAUACGUUCCCGGGCCUU
rnacentral:rRNA from 1 species